UACGUAGGGGGCAAGCGUUGUCCGGAUUUAUUGGGCGUAAAGAGCGUGUAGGCGGCCAGACAGGUCCGUUGUGAAAACUCGAGGCUCAACCUCGAGACGCCGAUGGAAACCGUCUGGCUAGAGUCCGGAAGAGGAGAGUGGAAUUCCUGGUGUAGCGGUGAAAUGCGCAGAUAUCAGGAAGAACACCUAUUGCGAAGGCAGCUCGCUGGGACGUAACUGACGCUGAGACGCGAAAGCGUGGGGAGCAAACAGG
rnacentral:rRNA from 1 species